GACGAACGCUGGCGGCGUGCUUAACACAUGCAAGUCGAACGAGUGGCGAACGGGUGAGUAAUACGUGAGUAACUACCUAUUAGAGGGGGAUAACUAUUGGAAACGAUAGCUAAUACCGCAUACUAGUAGAUGGACCUGCGUUGUAUUAGCUAGUAGGUAGGGUAAUGGCCUACCUAGGCAACGAUACAUAGCCGACCUGAGAGGGGGAGAGGCGACACUGGGACUGGGAAACGGCCCAGACUCCUACGGGAGGCAGCAGUAGGGAAUGUUCGGCAAUGGGGGGAACCCUGACCGAGCAACGCCGCGUGAGUGAAGAAGGUUUUCGGAUCGUAAAGCUCUGUUGUUAAGGAAGCGGUACUUAACCAGAAAGGGACGGCUAACUACGUGCCAGCAGCCGCGGUAAUUC
rnacentral:rRNA from 1 species